GAUGAAGAACGCAGCGAAAUGCGAUACGUAGUGUGAAUUGCAGAAUCCAGUGAAUCAUCGAAUCUUUGAACGCACAUUGCGCCCGCGAGUAUUCUCGCGGGCAUGCCUGUCCGAGCGUCAUUUCAACCCUCAGGGCCCGCCUGCUUCGGCAGGCGCGGCGCUGGUGUUGGGGAUCGGCCUAACCGCCGUCCCCCAAAUACAGUGGCGGUCUCGCUGCAGCCUCCCCUGCGUAGUAGCAACACUCGCAUGCGGAGCGCGGCGCGGCCACGCCGUAAAACCCCCGACUUUCUGAACGUUGACCUCGGAUCAGGUAGGAAUACCCGCUGAACUUAAGCAUAUCAAUAAGCGGAGGA
rnacentral:misc_RNA from 1 species